GACGAACGCUGGCGGCAUGCCUAAUACAUGCAAGUAGAACGCAGAUGCGACCGGGUGAGUAACGCGUAUGUAACUGCCUCAUAGCGGGGGAUAACUAUUGGAAACGCUAGCUAAUACCGCAUCCAGUUCCAUGUACCGGCGUUGUAUUAGCUUGUUGGUGAGGCAAAGGCCAACCAUGGCGACGAUACAUAGCCGACCUGAGAGGGUGAUCGGCCAAACUGGGACUGAGAAACGGCCCAGACUCCUCCGGGAGGCAGCAGUAGGGAAACUUCGGAAAUGGAUGGAAGUCUGACCGAGCAACGCCGCGUGAGUGAAGAAGGUUUUCGGGUCGUAAAGCUCUGUUGUUAGAGAAGCGGUACCUAACCAGAAAGGGACGGCUAACUCCGUGCCAGCAGCCGCGGUAAUAC
rnacentral:rRNA from 1 species